AGCAAGUACAACUACAAAGUUUCAGUCCCAUCAAAAAAAUUAUGGGCAAUUAGGUCGAAGUAAAACUUGAAGAAUGGAAUCUUUCCUGCUUGAAAGAUGUUUUCGAAGAAAAUAUGAUCGACGAGGAGGCAUUUCUCAUUUUAAUGGAAGACACCUUGAAGGAGAUGAAGAUUCCUAUUGGACCGCGAAUCAAACUAUUGAAAAAAAUCAAAUUUCAGGCAUCUUCAAGUCCCGAGUUUACUUGCCAGCCAAAAGAAAACGAGGCAAAGCCGUCAGUAGCUGCAAAUCAGUCUAUAUUUGAGAGCUGUGGGGCUCAAACUUUUCAACCGAGAAAGAAACCGAGGAAUGAUUUUAAUAUCAAAUCGAUUUUGGAGGAGUCCGAAGUUGGUGUUCAAGUCAUUUGCGAACUGGAUACGGAUAAAUUAAGCAGAAAAAGCAGAGUCAAGAUGGUUCAGUCCUCAUGCAGACAUCAAAAUCCAAAUGGCAAAGGCAGUGGUAGAGCAGUUUCCUUUCCUUAAAGACGAAGAGGGUCAAGGAUAUGAAGCUUGGUACAAUUUUUAUGCUCUUUCUCAUAACAUUUCUAAGAACGGCUUCGACAUGUUAUGAGAAAGAGCAUAAAGCACCGUAAGACUGAACAAAAAUUUGGGUUAACUUCAACUUCUCUAAAACACUUGGCAUGAUCACUACCAGGUUAAAUUCGUCAAUUACGAAGAUAUUAGAAGUUUAUUUGAUGGUGCUUGUAGAAAAUUUUUUUCUUAAAGUCAGUCAGUCUUAAAUAAAUCAGACAUCGGGGAGCCUAUCUCCACCCUAAAAAGUUAUGCGCAAAAGGCCGUCUUAAAUCGAUCAGAAUCGAUUAGAAAAACGCCACAACUUACAAUACGAGUGGUUAUGAAAGAAUACCCACGUCUUUUUGAUGUCCCUGGCAUGGUUGAAAUAGACUUUGCAACAUUGUAUCCAGAUGUCGCGGAUAAUCUUUUUUUGCGAUUUACACCAGAAACAGUGGAGAAAAUAAUUUGUUACGCAGAUACACAAACAGAAAAAUGGACAAAAUACUUGAAUAUUGCAACAAGAAACCUGAAUUCCGAUGAAGAGAAAAGAAAUGCUGCGAUUGGUCUCCUUCCAUGCGUUUUUCCUACUGGAAGAAAGAAUAAAAAAAGGUCGGUACAAACAUACCUAAAUAUUUAGAAACAGCCUCAAGAUGGGCGUUUGUUUUAGCAAUUGGUAGUCGAUGCAGCCCAACGCAAGUGUCCGUUAUGAUCGAAAGCCAGGACUCGGAGCAGCCUAAUCUUGCGAGGGCAAUUAAUUACCCAUGGCAGAGCUGUUCGUCGUGGGAGUUUAUACAAAAGUUUUUUAUGGCAUCGAGGACCAGGGAAAACAGAAGACUACAACUGCUGUUGCUGCAAUGAGAGCAGCAUUAAAGUAAUCAGAUCAUUGACGCUGAAAAUAUAUUGAUAUAAAUCUAAACUUCUCCAGCUAUUGCAUGUACCUGUUGUUAAUAUACAUGAUACUUGUCUAUCUUCUGUUUGUAGUUUUUACUAAAUGUAAGUUGUGUCCGUGCAAUGUUUUCUUCUUAAAUAAAUAUACUUUUUGAGCCUAAA